rnacentral:rRNA from 1 species
GACGAACGCUGGCGGCGUGCUUAACACAUGCAAGUCGAACGAUGAAGCCGGAGCUUGCUCUGGUGAAUUAGUGGCGAACGGGUGAGUAACACGUGAGUAACCUGCCCUUGACUCUGGGAUAACUGCGGGAAACUGUAGCUAAUACCGGAUACGACCCUCGGAGGCAUCUCCUGGGGGUGGAAAGAAUUUCGGUCAAGGAUGGACUCGCGGCCUAUCAGCUAGUUGGUGAGGUAAAGGCUCACCAAGGCGACGACGGGUAGCCGGCCUGAGAGGGUGACCGACCACACUGGGACUGUGACACGGCCCAGACUCCUACGGGAGGCAGCAGUGGGGAAUAGUGCACAAUGGGCGCAAGCCUGAUGCAGCAACGCCGCGUGAGGGAUGACGGCCUUCGGGUUGUAAACCUCUUUUAGCAGGGAAGAAGCGAAAGUGACGGUACCUGCAGAAAAAGCACCGGCUAACUACGUGCCAGCCGCCGCGGUAA